rnacentral:rRNA from 1 species
GACGAACGCUGGCGGCGUGCCUAAUACAUGCAAGUAGAACGCACAGUUUAUACCGUAGCUUGCUACACCAUAGACUGUGAGUUGCGAACGGGUGAGUAACGCGUAGGUAACCUGCCUGGUAGCGGGGGAUAACUCUUGGAAACGAUAGCUAAUACCGCAUAAUAUUGAUUAUUGCAUGAUAAUUGAUUGAAUGAUGCUAUUGCAUCACUACCUGAUGGACCUGCGUUGUAUUAGCUAGUAGGUGAGGUAACGGCUCACCUAGGCGACGAUACAUAGCCGACCUGAGAGGGUGAUCGGCCACACUGGGACUGAGACACGGCCCAGACUCCUACGGGAGGCAGCAGUAGGGAAUCUUCGGCAAUGGACGAAAGUCUGACCGAGCAACGCCGCGUGAGUGAAGAAGGUUUUCGGAUCGUAAAGCUCUGUUGUAAGAGAAGAACGGGUGUGAGAGUGGAAAGUUCACACUGUGACGGUAUCUUACCAGAAAGGGACGGCUAACUACGU